UCCGUAGGAACAUCCGAGGCGAAGGCGGCUCGCUGGAUCACAACUGACGCUGAGGGACGAAAGCUAGGGGAGCAAACAGGAUUAGAUACCCUGGUAGUCCUAGCCCUAAACCAUCAGGACUUGGGGUUUGCCCUGUACGGGGCAAGUCCCGUAGCUAACGCGUUAAGUCCUGCGCCUGGGGAGUACGGUCGCAAGACUGAAACUCAAAGGAAUUGACGGGGGCCCGCACAAGCGGUGGAACAUGUGGUUCAAUUCGACGCAACGCGAAGAACCUUACCUGGGCUUGAACCGCACAGGACCAUCUUUGGAAACAGAGACUUCUCGCAAGAGACCUGUGUAGAGGUGCUGCAUGGCUGUCGUCAGCUCGUGCCGUGAGGUGUUGGGUUAAGUCUCGCAACGAGCGCAACCCUUACUCGUAGUUGCCACCCGCAAGGGGGAACUCUACGAGGACUGCUCCGGAUAACGGAGAGGAAGGUGGGGAUGAGGUCAAGUCAGCAUGGCCUUUAUGUCCAGGGCCACACACGUGUUACAAUGCGCGCCACAAAGCGUUGCAAGCCCGCGAGGGGGAGCCAAUCGCUAAAAGCCGGUCUAAGUGCGGAUCGGAGUCUGCAACUCGACUCCGCGAAGUCGGAAUCGCUAGUAAUCGUGGAUCAGCCACGCCACGGUGAAUACGUUCCCGGGCCUUGUACACACCGCCCGUCACGCCAUGGAAGCUGGAGGGACCCGAAGCCGGUGGGCGAACCGCAAGGACGCAGCCGUCUAAG
rnacentral:rRNA from 1 species